CUGCAGCCAAUCAGGGAGUGAUGCGUCCUAGGCAAUUGUUGUUCUCUUUAAAGAGGGAAGGGGGUUUCGUUUUCUCUCUCUCUUGCUUCUUACACUCUGGCCCCAUAAAGAUGUAAGCAAUAAAGCUUUGCCGUAGAAGAUUCUGGUUGUUGUGUUCUUCCUGGCCGGUCGUGAGAACGCGUCGAAUAACACACACACACAUACACACAGGGCUACAGUGCAUGCACACACACACACAUACACACAGGGCUAUAGUGCACACACACACAUACACACAGGGCUAUCGUGCAUGCACACACACACAUACACACAGGGCUAUAGUACAUGCACAAACACACAAACAUACACACAGGGCUAUAGUACAUGCACAAACACACAAACAUACAGAGCUAUAGUGCACACACACACAUACACACAAGGCUAUAGUGCACACAUACACACAUACACACAAGGCUAUAGUGCAUGCACACACACACACAUACACAUAGGGCUAUAGUACAUGCACACACACACAUAUACACAGGGCUACAGUGCAUGCACACACACACACAUACACACAGGGCUAUAGUGCAUGCACACACACACAUACACACAGGGCUAUAGUGCAUGCACACACACACAUACACACAGGGCUACAGUGCAUGCACACACACACACAUACACACAGGGCUAUAGUGCAUGCACCCACACACACAUACACACAGAGCUAUAGUGCACACACACACAUACACACAGGGCUAUAGUGCAUGCACACACACACAUACACACAGGGCUAUAAUACAUGCACACACACACAAACAUACACACAGAGGUAUAGUGCACACACACACAUACACACAGGGCUAUAGUGCAUGCACACACACACAUACACACAGGGCUAUAGUGCACAUACACUCAGGGCUAUAGUGCACACACACACAUACACACAAGGCUAUAGUGCACACACACAUAUACACAGGGCUAUAGUGCACACACACAUACACACAGGGCUAUAGUGCAUGCACACACAUACACACAGGGCUAUAGUGCACACACACACACAUACACACAGGGCUAUAGUACAUGCACACACAUGCAUACAUACAUGUAGCUAUAGUACACAC
rnacentral:lncRNA from 1 species